CAUAGCCUCAUGGAACACAGACCUUGCUAAUUAAUCUUCACGACAACACCUCCAUGAGAUAUGGGAUCCUAUCCCAAAUUUACAUACAGAUGCAGAAUUAGAGAGAAAUGCUUUUGCGUGAUGAACUCUGUAAUCCCUGAUUAUAUUGUCCUGUUUCUUCCAAAGCCUUUUGGUAGAUCACGUGAAGGCAUUCUGGGCACUCAGAGUAGCUCUCAGAUUAUUAGAUCAUGCCUCUCUCCAACACUGUGAACUGAAAAUGUAUAAUAGGAAAAAAAAUAAUAUUUCCAGCACCAAAUGCAUCGGUGCAUUUGGCAAAUGCACUUAGGUCAGCCCAUCCAUGAAAGCACUCCUUGGACAAGGCAGCAGAGGGUAUCAAUCUCCAGCGUAAUGCUCAGCUCACGUCAGCACAUUUUUGUCCAAGUUGCUUUUCUGGCCAUCCUGCUGCCCUGCAGGACCUCUGGCAAGGAAGGCACGCAGGAGCUACAGGGGGUCUCCUCAACCAGGAGGCUUCUACUGUCAAUAACAACCACCUCGGUGUCUCUACCUCAUGUUUUGUGGUCUGAUACAGAUCUCAUCUUGCUCACUUUCUGAUUAUUUUGGACUAUCCAUGAAUUCAGUGUGGAAGCCACUGAUGGGGUAGAGAAAGGAGAGGUCUAAAACACUACAGCUGAAAGGUGUCAUCCCGGGGCAAGGGAAAGCCAGCACAAAGGCAGGUUGGUCUGUUAUCACAGACAGAUGGUCUCAAUUAUUGUGGUGAUCACAGAGGGAACAUGAGAGCAUCAAAAAACUGAGAAAUCAAAUCACCUUGGUGGUGACAGGGGGAAUCAGGGUGCUGGAAACACUAAAAAACUACCUUUUAUUUUCUUUUCUUUUUUACUGUGGUUAUAAAUUAUUGCGGCCAGACUUUCAGUCCACAAGGGAAAUGUAUGGAUAGCAAAAUGUCUGAGAAACGUGUGAGAGUGGGGAGUGCUUUAACAACCCUGACCAGCCCCACCUGGGUCCCUGGCCAGGCCCUAUUUAAGCUCAGGCUGGGGCUUUCAUCUGCCUCAUUUUCUUGAGUUGGGUUCAGUUUUCUUUUGUUUUGUCUCCUGCUGUGGCUUCCUCGAUGACCCUGCUUUGCCUGCUUGCUGUGUGUGGGGCGGUUGAUGGACGGUUUGUGUCUCCUGGUUGUGCUCAGGUCAUGUGGGAUGGUGCCCACCGGUGAGGUCGUGGCUGGUGCUGGGGUGGUCCUGUGCCCUUGUGUUGCGUGACUCUGCUCCUGUUGCUCUUUGGUGCUCACUGAGGGAUACGCAGCGAGCGAGGAGAUGUAAACACAGCACCUGCAAAUGCUACUGGGGUCAGCACUGAGGGUAUUUCUGUUGCAAUCUCUACAAUCUAAACUCAGAAUUCCCAGGCUCAGAGGACCCUUCCGUGUAUGUGAACCACUUAAAGAUGAAUGAAAAGGAACAUAAACAAAAAUGACAAUUGUAAGUGAAAUCCAAUUUCACCUCAUUUCUCUUAAAAGGUGUGCUACAUUGUUUUCCCUUCAUUUGUGUUUGUCAGGGUGAGAAAAUAAAUAUUUUUAAUGAAUCACAGUGUAUACCUACAUAAUGUGGAAUUGUUCCAGAAACAAAAUCAAAUGUUGGAUUUUAAUCUACAGCGAAGGGAUGUCCUAUUAGUAUUCACAAUGAAUUGUGUGAUGUCUGCACAUUCAGAUUAUAGCACAUAGUGCUUUGAAAGAGAACAAAGACACUCAUCAAAUCCACAUUAUGAUACUCCAUCAAUGUAAGUAAUUCAAUCAAAAAACUAUACAGUAUCUUUUCAGGAAGGG